AGUGAGAACUUUAGCAAAGCCAAAUAACUUGUGUUAAGUUAAAAUUGGAAGUCUAUUAAAAUUUUAGGAAUACAUAAUUCUCCGGUUCAGUGAUCGAGACCAAUCUAUUCAGUUCCGCCGAAAUUAAACUAAGUGAGAAACGGGGGUUUAAAACACCCAUUCAGUGAUAUGAAGGCAAACAUGUCUCGUCGUUUGGUCCAAAUCGGUGUUCUCCAUUUCUAGUCAAUAAGACGUUUAAGAGGAUUUUGAUAUCAUUUUAAUUUGCUAUCUACAGUAGACACGUUUUCGAUUUCAUUUGAAUAAUAACUGAAUAAUUACGUGGGCGUUGACUAUAAUAACGUAAGUCUCUAUUCAUAAUUGUAAUCAAAAUCGAUGGAACUUUUUUUCUUCCAUGAAUUUCUGUGGGUGAAGGUUUUGGACCUUAAUACAGUAACAUAACGUUUAUAUCUACUUAUCUUUUCAUUUAAUUUGUUUCACCCCUCGCAAGGCCAAACCAGAAAGCUUCUGAUAAAAUAACGAUUAAUAAUUUAUGUCCAGAAACGGUCCUUUUGGCAAAACGCAGUAAUUUAACCGUGAAAAGAAACCCAACGGUAAUUUUAAAUGGAAAUGAUGUAAGCUUGGUGGAAUAGUAGAAUGUUCGAUACCCCUGAGAAAAGUGUUUAAGUAUUAUAAUUAAUUCCUCGAAUUCACAUUAGGAAAUUUGACGCCUCUAAGAUGAGUAUUAAAAAUUAUAUUUGUUCAUGCUCUACCUCGUUCGAGCCAAGGCGUAAUGAGCGAGUUAUGAGGUAUUCCGCGGUAAGUAAUUGCAGCAAUCAGCGAAAAAACGAGUCUACGCUCGUAAAUUAAUAAUGAUGUUUGAGUUUAAUCGUAGUUAUAUAGCUAGGUGGCAUAACUCACGGUGUUGUUCGUGAUCAGAGGGCAUUGUCGCAGUUAUUGAGCCGUUGAAAAUGAAUGCAAUUCUAUCUGUGGUGAUUCUCUCCGUAACUCUGAUUGUGGUCAACGCGCAAAAUUGCGGCUGGGGAGCUCCAUACGGCGGCUGUAAGUUGAAGGCCAAGCAUUCAUCCAUGGACGGAAGAGAGUCGAGAUCAGGAGCCCCAGGUACACUUCCGGAGCCAGUUUACCGUGAAAUUCCAGAGGACAAUACUAUUACAAGGAAUAAGAUGGCCUUCAAGUUGAAGAACAAAAAGAGUUUGUCCAAAUACCGAUGGCGAGGGCGCUAAUACUUUCUUGGAGGACUUGCACCGGUAAAAAAAGGAAACUGGGGAAUAUGGACAGUUUAGAUUUUAAAAUUAAUGCUGAUAGAGCUUAUCUUUGUACGGUUUGAAAGUAGUGGAUAAAUAACUUGGUGCUUACGAUAAGUAAUUAUGCAUAGAAAUUGAGAAAUUUAAAAAUACGACUAGAAACAGAGGAGAGGAUGCAAAGGUAUUCUUAGAUGACUUGUCGAUACUUUUUCUCCGCUUCUUCUUCACUAAACAAUGUAGAGAAAUUGAAUGUUAAUUAUUGUAAUAAUCUUUAAUUUUUAAAAGUAGAGCUCAUACAUUUGUACUGCUUACGAUCAGUAGAGCGCAUGUAACUAGAUCUAUUAAAGUUUACAGUAAAAAAAGA